ACCAGAGAAAAUCAUCUUUGUACUAAAACAUCCUUUACAUUAGAAUAUGUCAGCAAGGAUGAAAUAGACAAAC